rnacentral:tmRNA from 1 species
GGGCCAGACUGGAUUUGACAGCGAGGUCAAGAGGUGUGCAAGCAUGCAGUGCGUUGGUAGCAGUCACUUAAAAAGCAACUACUCACAAAUUUAUCUGGCGAAACUAACUACGCUCUCGCAGCUUAGUCUGAAGUACAGUAGGACUGCUUUAUUCCGCGCCAAGGGCGCAGAACGAGACGUCACUCGGUCGCUCUUUCUCCGAAGCGUACCGGUUCAGUGGCGCAGCAAAUCGGGGAUAGCUUGAGGCGGCCUCGCGCCUCGGGCGAAAUUCUUCAGAGGAUAUGCCCCGCUGUUGGCCGUCGGGCUCCGGCUGCAGGACAGACAAUCACAGCCUGACUAAGCAUGUAGAAAACACAUGGCUUCCUUGUUUGGACGGGAGUUCGAAUCUCCCCUGGUCCACCC